UUUCCGUAGGUGAACCUGCGGAAGGAUCAUUAAAGUUAUAGUCCCCUGGCCCUCUGUGCUGGGGUCUUCUAUACCACCCCGUGUUUAUUACACCUUUGUUGCUUGGGCAGCCCUGCCCUCGUGCGGGUGGCUCCGGCCGGCGAGCGCAUGUCCGGAGAGCUAAAGUGUGUUCGUCUAUAAUGUCCGGGUACUAUAUAAUAGUUAAAACUUUCAACAACGGAUCUCUUGGUUCUG
rnacentral:misc_RNA from 1 species